UAUUUCAGAUUUCAUUUGGCAAGGAACAUAGUACAUAACACCAUGUAGUGGUACAGUGAAAGUGAUUAUUCAAAAUGUAAUAUUUAUGGUUAUUCUCGAAUCGUUGGCGGGAAAGCUUUCAUUGACUCGCCGCCAUUAACUAAAAGAAAUAAAAAUUGGCGGGUGUUUCAAAAAUGGAACAAUAACCUCUAACUCGGCCACGGACACAGAUAAAAAGACAACUUUGAUUCGAUAUUGGGAACGUAUUGACCCGCAGACCGGAUACAAUGUUCAAACGCGGGAAAGUGACAAAUGCGUGAAAAUAACUCAAAAAAUAUCCUGCGUUGGUCCUUCAAAUGGGAAGUUCUUAAUUGGAAUAAUGUUUACUCAUACUUGUAAGAAAUUAUGACCUCUAAUGUAACUUACUUGUAGUAAAGUAAAUAAUGGAACCGUUGCAUCACAUACACACAAUUUGUGAAAAAGAUAAACUUUAGUAUACCUACUAUAUGUUAUACAUAAGAUUACACUUUUAAGGCACUGCUAAAUAACUAAGUACCUACAUAAUAUUAUUAUUUGAAAAGCACGUCAAUACACUACCAACAUUUAAAUAUUCAUACCUAAAUUCUUAGCAAAAGUGAAAAUAAUUAAUUAUAAAUUAUUUUCAUAGCUAAAAUUGAUACAAAUUCCAUAAUAAGUAAAUUUAAAAUCAUAAAUCUUACCUAGAUAAUAUUACCUAUAAACUGUUCCAAAACUGUAAUAUUGAAAACAAAACAUACACCGAACAUUCAAUUACUUAUACAGAUGUGUUAGUUGUCACAACUUCUAAAUUAAUAAAAAAAAUAUUAUUAUUCUAUUUAUUACUUACUCUUUGUAUUUGAAAAAGUAAUGUGUUUAAUCAAGCUAACUAGAGGUAAUAUGACCAUCUGACAAAGCAUACAAUAUCGGAAAUACAAAAUCAAUAUAUCUGUUUGUUUUUAUGCCUCUGUCCGAACGCAACUGUCUUUUUUUAGUAUCGAUUUCCAUUCACAAGGAUUGUAUUACAUACAGCCAGCGGUUUAAACUACUUACCUAAAACAAUAAUGUUAUCAAUUGAUCAUUAUAUUUAAAGAACUUUAAUAAUUUCAUUAAAACUAAGUAAAUAGUUGGUAUACAUACUAUGUUUCAUUAUAUUUUGCUCAAUAUACCGAAUUUUUUUUUAAAUUCAUUAAUUCAAAAAUUCUAUACUUACCUACCUACUUAAAAAUUAAAUUAUCAGUGAAUGUUUCAUUAGUUGCCUACUGCUUAUAGAUGAAAACUGAUUCAUUACUCUCAUUUUAAUUAAUUAACACAAUAUUAUUCAUCUCAUAAGUACAUUUAUAAAUAGUGCUUCUAAUGUUAAUCUGCCAUUACAUUUUUCUAGUUAUAAAGUUGACCUUUGGUACCUGCAGUACAUUUAAAUUAUUGUUUUGAAAAAGUUUUAAAUAUCAAUGCUUUCGAAGUUAAAAAUUUGAUUGUAACUAACCUCCUGCACAUUAUGGCAAUUUUUAUUUAUAUACGUAAUAGUAAAGCGAUAACUAAUUUGGAUUUUAUAUUAUACAUCAAUAAAACUGUAUUUUAGAAUAUUUAGAAAUUUGUUUCACGCAACACCAGCAAAUUUCAUACAAUAAUUUCCACUACAGCUUGGUAAUUAGGAAAAGUACUGCAGCCAACCGUCGCCAUCUUGUUUUCGCGAGGCGUCACAGACGACCUUUUUUAUCAAAAAAGGCCUAAGUAUAAUACAUACGUAUUAUGUGGGAGACAGCUGUGAUUAAGUAGAGAGGGAGUCUAAACGAAAACCCGCUCUAUUGUCUGUAAACAAAGCUUGUUUUUAUCUGCACGCUUUUUAUUUUUUGUUUUGCGUUUUGGCGCGUAGGGAACACCGAGGUACUUUUAGCGGUGCCACCCUCGCAGGGUUGAGAUUUCUUAUAUAGCAAUAAAUUAUUAAUAUUGGGGUAGAUUGCUAAAUUACCUACAUAAAAUUACAUUUGUUAUUUAACAUUAUGAUUUCUGAAUACAACCUAUACUUAAGUUAAUGAUAUGAAAUUCAAAUAUUGCUAAGGUUGAUGUUUUAAAAUAAUACAUUAUGAAACGUUUUCUCUCUCACUCAUGCUCAAGAACUCUCAAUGAAUAAAAUUUCUCUUAAGAACUUAUUCAAAUCUCAAUAAAUUUUCUUGCAAAUUCACAAUUUAUUAUAUUUAAUGUAAUGUAUCUAAGAUAUUAUCACAGUUAUAUUUUUACAUAUAUUAGAAUAAACAGUUAUGGGAAUUAUUUAUUAAAAUAAUUUACAUUAUUAUAAAAUGUUCUCUAUCAAUCUGUAUAAAUAAUUUAAUCUUUGAAGAAUCAAUUCGCGACCUAGGUAAUUAAUUAUUUUACAAAAGCAGAAUUAAUGAAAAUUAAUUUAUAUAUCUAAGAUGUUUUUAUCGUUAUAUUUAUAUAUUAUAUAUUAAAAACCGUUAGAAUUCCGAAUAAAAGCUAAAUUUAAAUUUUGGAAAUAUGUCAAAUUGAGAUACAACCUAGGUAUACGUUUAAAAAAAAAAACAACAAAGCACUCUCUAUGAAUAAUUUAAUCUUUGAAGAAUUAAAUUGAGACUCAAUAAAUUUUCUUACAAACGCAUUAAUGAUUUGAAAUGUAUUUGAAUCUAAGAUAUUAUUACCGUUAUAUUCAUCAUAUAUUAUAUAUUAAAAACCGUUAGAAUUCCAAAUGAAAGUUAAAUUUCAAUUAUUUCAAUUAUUUAUGUCAAAUUCUGAUACAACUACGGUAUUAACAAAUAAAAUCACUCUAUGAAUAAUUUUCUCUAUCAAAAUUAGUAUUUGUAUUAACUCUAAACUAAACCAAUAAACUAAUUAUAUUGAAUCUGUUUGUAUCUAAGAUAUUGUCAAUGUUAUAUUUAUAUAUUAUAUAUUAAAAACUACCGUUAUUAUUCCGAAUGUAAGCUAAAUUUAAGGAAAGGAUAUUCAAAUUAUCAAAAAUAAACUUGAAGUUUAAAUAAUCUUUUUUUUCAUCGUGGAAGAGUCUGUCUCACUAAAUAACUAUAUGAAUAACAUUCUCUUUGAAGAAGUCACUACAUUUCCUUAAAAAAACACAAUUAAUGAAAAAUUAAAUGUUUUUGUAUAUAACAUAUUAUCACUUAUCACUAUAUAUAUUAUCACUAUUGUAUUUCCAUAUUAUUUAGCUUGCAAAACCAAUUGCUUUUUUCAAUACGCUAGAUCUUGAAGCUUCUUAAAUUUAGAGUUGGGUUCUAUAAAUUGAUUUGUACUACAAAGCUGUUUUCAGCACUGAUAAAAUGAAAUAAUUUAGACUCUUUCUCUACUCCACACUACGUAUUUAGGUGCAAACCUAAAAAUGCGAUAUUAUAAUUAAUAAUAUGUAUGUAAAGACACUCGCUAUUUCAAGAUAGCAAAUGUUUAUUUUAAAAUAAUUUUAAUUUUUGUGCCAGGUUUCCGAAAUGUUGGUAUAUUUAAGUACUGAACUAGAAUAUACAUAAAAAAUAAUUACGAAUUAAUAUUUGAUGCACUAAUAGUGAAAUUGGAUAAAAUAUCAUUAAAAAAUAUUUAUACUACCUAAGUAAUAUUGACAGUUUUGUUUUGAGACCUGCUUUUCGGAAACCAUUGAGAUUUCAUUGAGAACCUGAUCCAAUUAACUGAUAAGUUUUAAAUUGUUUCCAAAUAAGAAAUCUAUUACAAGAUGUAAGUAGGACCCUUACCUCUUCUAUCACUGCUGGUGGUAUGAUUCUAAGAUGAGUACAUAUUGUUAAAAAUUAUAAUGUUUACAAUAUUUUGACAACGUUUGCACAUAAAUACUAUGGAGAUACCAUUUUAAAAACAAUGCAUUAAAUAAAAUCAACAGGAUAACAUUAUUAAGAAACAUUAAAAUCUUACAGUUUUUAAAAAUAACAUUAUCAACGAAAUAGUAACAAUUAUGAUUAAAAUUAUAAAAUUAAAAUUUAUAAUAAUUGCAAGUAUGUUAUUCAAAUUAUUAAUUGAUUUAAAAAUAUUUAUGUUCCAAUUAAGGCAUUGGUAUUAAUGUGCAGAAAUAGUCCUAAAUAUCUUUUAUAGAUUUUUUUAAUUUACUCAUGAUAAAAUGUGUUAUUAUAAUGUCAAGUUUCUGUCAAGUCACCUGCACAUUAAAUUACUUGUAAAAGAGUUUUUUAAUCAAUUAUAUCUUUGGUAACAUAUUUUAAUUCAUUUUUAAUUAAUUAUACCUAUCAUCCAGAUAAUAUUUAAGCAAAUUUAUUAAGUUGAACAACUAUCGAUUUUAUAUUUCACAACACAUUUACGGCUUAAAAACAAAAUGUCCGCUAUUCGCGCCAAUUUGGAUUUGCUGCGUCAGACACCUAAUUUAGUUUCACGAUAUAGCGUUGUGAGAAAUUUUGUGGGCACAUUAUGUUUUGAUGAAUAAAUUCUUAUUUCAAAACCUUUA